rnacentral:lncRNA from 1 species
GUGUAGGUGGUGGUUGUUGUGGUUGGGUGGCCGCAACCAUGGCGGUUCUCUUCUUCUUUGUUAUUAUUGUUGUUUUUUUUAGGAUCAAGAGAAUUGCUUGCAGAUCGAUAAACCAAUAUGCAGCAGCUCUAGUUGGGAGUGGAUCGCGCGAGUAAUAAUAAAUCUAAAUAAGUAGAGAUUGAGAGAGAGGCGAUCCUCCAAGAAUACUUAUUUGCAACGGAGGUUAUAAUUAUUAUUUAUUAUUAGAGGUUAAAAGAAGAAGAGAAGAGGAAG